CACUGCUGGCCAAACAAUUACAGGUUUCUGAGCUCAUCCACACCAUAAAUCAAAUCAAGUCUCUAAAACAGCAGGAAACCUUCAGGGAAACAUGGGAAGAAAGCAUCUUUGAAAGCUCAAAUGGUGACUCACUCGAGGAGUGCAAGGACUGUGACAAUUAACAAGGAGCAACAGAGAUAAACUGGAGCUGGCUGCUUCCAUCCCCUUCAAAUAACUUCAACCCCCCCAGACCUGCUGCCCCUUAUCUGCAGCACAGUCCCUGCAGAUGAGGCUGUCUCCACAAGAAGGAUAAGGAUGUACAGGAGCUCCUUCUUCACCCACACAGACUCCUACCACCUCUCCUUGACAUGGUGCAUGUCCCAGUGAGCCAUGGGCAGAUGAUCCUGGAAAAUCGACCCAUCCACCUGGACCUCACUUCAGCUUGUGUUCUUUAUUUCAAAGAAGGUCAAUAUAAAGUAACUCAGAGCAUGUCCCACUCCUUUUGGAUCUCCUUCCUGAGCUGAGAAGUCCCAGCAAGCUCUACCAAAGCUG